GGGCGAGGCGGAGCUGCCGGGAGAUGGCGGCUCUACACAGGCGAGCGGCCGGCAAGCGCCGUUAACCGCGGUUGCGGUCCCCCGCGCCGCCGCGGAGGGGCCGCGCUUCACACGGGUGUCGAUUAUAUGUAAAUGUUGUGGACAGAGCGCCUUUCCCCGAUUCUACCAUCUGAAUGGGCAAAAUUUGCUAGUAACACAGAAGUAAGCUGCACUCCCCUGGUGUCUGAGAAGCUGCAUAAUAAAAUACAGAGACUUUGAUUCCACUGGAUUUUUGCUGCAGCUUGGGUACAAGAAGCGAUAAAACCUGAGAGAAAAUAAACAGAAAAUGCCUUAAAUUCAAACUGAAUUCCUUUAACAGCCCCGUUUCCCCACUGAUUGUCGCAAGACUAAAACUGGUCUAGACCUUCCUACCUGGAAUUGCUUAGUGUACAGUAACAAUUGUUCUUCCUAAUGGAUUUUAACACGUGAUGGAAAGAAUUUUUCUUCCCUUUUAUCUCGCCUCCUUUGAUGGGAAAAUUACCCCCCUACUGUGAGUUACAACAGGGCGGUUAACCAUUACAGAAAGCAAUUUCAGGGUGAGGGAAGUCAAAUAUGCUGCUGUUACUGGUUAACAGUUAAAUUUCUCUACUUGCUGCUGGUUUUCUUCUAUCUAAUAAAGGGGAGAACCAACCAUUUACCAUCCUCAAAUUAAUACUGUUUAACAUUGAUCUGUUGCAACCUGAAAUGAAAAAAUACAUUAAAAAUAUGCUUAUGUUUAAAAACCAAAAA
rnacentral:lncRNA from 1 species